rnacentral:rRNA from 1 species
GAUGAACGCUAGCGGCAGGCUUAACACAUGCAAGUCGAGGGGUAUGGUUCUUCGGAGCAGAGACCGGCGCACGGGUGCGUAACGCGUAUGCAAUCUACCUUUUACAGAGGGAUAGCCCAGAGAAAUUUGGAUUAAUACCUCAUAGUAUAACAUGACCGCAUGGUCGAGUUAUUAAAGUUCAACGGUAAAAGGAAUGAGCA